rnacentral:tRNA from 1 species
CUGGGAUUAUAGCUCAGUGGUAAAGCUCUAACAUAGCAUGCAUGGGGUUCUGGGUUCUAUCCCCAGCAUCUUAGA